UGCUGGUGGGUCAACCCGAUGCAAGUUAUGAGAAGAAGCUGCAGCAAGAACCUGUCUGUCUUCAAAUUAACUCCACCAAGUUGCAGAUGCUACCAUGACCAACCUGACUUCACUGGACAGAGGACUUCGCCAAUGUAGCCUGGAACCCCACCUCUCCAGAGCCCGGCCCCACUAGGGAAAGAGAGAGGCAGGCUGGGAAUAUGGAUCCACCUGCCAACGUCCAUGUUCAGCAGGGAAGCAAUUACAGAAGCCAGACCUUCCACCUUCUGCAUCCCACAAUGACCCUGGGUCCAUACUCCCAGAGGGAUAGAGAAUGGGAAAGCUAUCAGGGGAGGGGAUGGGAUACAGAGUUCUGGUGGUGGGAAUUGUGUGGAGUUGUACCCCUCUUAUCCUAUGGUCUUGUCGAUAAUUAUUAAAUCAAUAAAAAAAGAGAGAGACUCUAA